UAAGGAAUAUUGGACAAUGCCCGCAAGGGUGAUCCAGCCAUGCCGCGUGCAGGAAGAAGGCCCUAUGGGUCGUAAACUGCUUUUACACCGGAGAAAACCUUCCCUCGUGAGGGGAGCUGAUAGUAUGGUGAGAAUAAGCAUCGGCUAACUUCGUGCCAGCAGCCGCGGUAAGACGAAGGAUGCAAGCGUUAUCCGGAUUCAUUGGGUUUAAAGGGAGCGUAGGUGGACUGAUAAGUCAGUGGUGAAAUCU
rnacentral:rRNA from 1 species